AAAAGAUGGUUCUGCUAUCACUCUUGGAUGGACCUGCGGUGCAUUAGCUAGUUGGUAAGGUAACGGCUUACCAAGGCAAUGAUGCAUAGCCGAGUUGAGAGACUGAUCGGCCACAUUGGGACUGAGACACGGCCCAAACUCCUACGGGAGGCAGCAGUAGGGAAUCUUCCACAAUGGACGCAAGUCUGAUGGAGCAACGCCGCGUGAGUGAAGAAGGGUUUCGGCUCGUAAAGCUCUGUUGGUAGUGAAGAAAGAUAGAGGUAGUAACUGGCCUUUAUUUGACGGUAAUUACCUAGAAAGUCACGGCUAACUACGUGCCAGCAGCCGCGGUAAUACGUAGGUGGCAAGCGUUGUCCGGAUUUAUUGGGCGUAAAGCGAGUGCAGGCGGUUCAAUAAGUCUGAUGUGAAAGCCUUCGGCUCAACCGGAGAAUUGCAUCAGAAACUGUUGAACUUGAGUGCAGAAGAGGAGAGUGGAACUCCAUGUGUAGCGGUGGAAUGCGUAGAUAUAUGGAAGAACACCAGUGGCGAAGGCGGCUCUCUGGUCUGCAACUGACGCUGAGGCUCGAAAGCAUGGGUAGCGAACAGGAUUAGAUACCCUGGUAGUCCAUGCCGUAAACGAUGAGUGCUAAGUGUUGG
rnacentral:rRNA from 1 species